CCUACGGGGGGCAGCAGUGGGGAAUAUUGGACAAUGGGGGGAACCCUGAUCCAGCCAUGCCGCGUGUGUGAAGAAGGCCCUCGGGUUGUAAAGCACUUUCAGUGAGGAAGAACGCCUGGUGGUUAAUACCCAUCAGGAAAGACAUCACUCACAGAAGAAGCACCGGCUAACUCCGUGCCAGCAGCCGCGGUAAUACGGAGGGUGCGAGCGUUAAUCGGAAUUACUGGGCGUAAAGCGCGCGUAGGUGGCUUGAUAAGCCGGUUGUGAAAGCCCCGGGCUCAACCUGGGAACGGCAUCCGGAACUGUCAAGCUAGAGUGCAGGAGAGGAAGGUAGAAUUCCCGGUGUAGCGGUGCAAUGCGUAGAGAUCGGGAGGAAUACCAGUGGCGAAGGCGGCCUUCUGGACUGACACUGACACUGAGGUGCGAAAGCGUGGGUAGCAAACAGGAUUAGAUACCCUAGUAGUC
rnacentral:rRNA from 1 species